CUGAAGGCAUGUUGCAGCACGUCACUUCUCCUGCGUGUAUUUUCAACGGUUCGCUGCUGUUGUGUCCGAGAGACAUUUUACAACUUGUUAGUUCUUUUUACAGCGAGGAGUAGUUUGUAAGCAGUGGAAACAGCAGUUCCACUACCGCGGACCCUGUAGCUAAUUUUGUCAGUAAAUAAGCCGUUGGCGCCGCGCUGCCCUGCCGGAGGACGUGUGCCUCGAGUGGAGUAGAGACGAAGAAAGAGGGCGACAGGAGACUGAAUCUGACCACUGAGCCAACAGACAUCAGGUGCCUUUGUCUUCGGGGACUGCCAGUCGUCUUGGGGGAUGACCCCUCUGCGUUCUUCAAAACCUGCUCGGAUGCAACUGACAAGGACUUGUACAGUGAAACUUCAGUGGGAAUCCUCUGCAUUGACGAACAUCCUCAACUCAACCCAUCCAGAGUGAGCAUCGUCUUGGAAGGGAGUGUGGUAAUGGAGGAGCUGGCCAACCUGCCAC
rnacentral:lncRNA from 1 species